rnacentral:pre_miRNA from 1 species
UUUCUACUCCCUCCGUUCGGAAUUACUUGUCGCGGAAAUGGAUCUAUCUAGAUGUAUUUUAGUUCUAGAUAUAUCCAUAUCCGAGACAAGUAAUUCCGAAUGGAGGGAGUAUGUU